UACGAAGGGGGCUAGCGUUGCUCGGAAUCACUGGGCGUAAAGCGCACGUAGGCGGAUUGUUAAGUCAGGGGUGAAAUCCUGGAGCUCAACUCCAGAACUGCCUUUGAUACUGGCGAUCUUGAGUCCGGGAGAGGUGAGUGGAACUGCGAGUGUAGAGGUGAAAUUCGUAGAUAUUCGCAAGAACACCAGUGGCGAAGGCGGCUCACUGGCCCGGUACUGACGCUGAGGUGCGAAAGCGUGGGGAGCAAACAGGGAUUAAGAAACCCUUGGUACGU
rnacentral:rRNA from 1 species